UACGGGGGGGGUAAGCGUUGUUCGGAAUUACUGGGCGUAAAGGGCUCGUAGGCGGCCAACUAAGUCAGACGUGAAAUCCCUCAGCUUAACUGGGGAACUGCGUCUGAUACUGGAUGGCUUGGAUUCGGGAGAGGGAUGCGGAAUUCCAGGUGUAGCGGUGAAAUGCGUAGAUAUCUGGAGGAACACCGGUGGCGAAGGCGGCCAACUGGACGAACACUGACGCUGAGACUCGAAAGCGUGGGGAGCAAACAGG
rnacentral:rRNA from 1 species